CCUACGGGCGGCAGCAGUGGGGGAUAUUGCACAAUGGGGGAAACCCUGAUCCAGCGACGCCGCGUAUGGGAAGACGGCCCUCUGGAUUGUAAACCACUGUCCCCAGGGACGAAGAUGACGGUACCUGGGGAGGAAGCUCCGGCGAACUACGUGCCAGCAGCAGCGGUAAGAGGAAGGGAGCGAGCGUUGGCCGGAAUUACUGGGGGUAAAGGGAGCGUAGGCGGGACUGCAAGUUGGGUGUCAAAUCUACCGGCUCAACCGGUAGCCGCACUUAAAACUGCAGUUCUUGAGUGAAGUAGAGGCAGGCGGAAUUCCUGGUGUAGCGGUGAAAUGCGUAGAUAUUAGGAGGAACACCAGUGGCGAAGGCGGCCUGCUGGGCUUUUACUGACGCUGAGGCUCGAAAGUGUGGGGAGCAAACAGGAUUAGAUACCCUGGUAGUC
rnacentral:rRNA from 1 species